AUCACUGUUAGAUCAAAAAAUAAACUCAAAUCACGUUUGCAAUCAAAAUAUACCUUAGUUAUUUCUUACGAUUUACAUCAUUGUGCGAAUUUUCACAAGGAAACCUUGCCAAAUGAAAAAAGGGAAGAAAAUAACAAAGAAAGACACCACAUCAACUGAGAAACAACAAGAAAAGUUACGUCCUGAAAUCUCCAAGAGGGAGAAGAAAAUGAAGACAAAUAAUAAAAGCGCUCUUGCAAAGAAAAAACCUCAUUGGUCUUCAAAGUUUCCAUCUCUCUGCCACUUCAAUGAAAGUAAUAACAAUGUUGAAGGUGAAACCAGCAAUUUGCCUCCAAACACCGAGUCAAAAGAUAUAUUGGAUUCAAAGUGUGAAGGAGACGGAAAAUUACAAAAAGACUGAUAACUAGGAGAGGGAUGACAAGGAAAUAUAACUUAUCAAUCUUUUCUCUCUUCGUAUUUUUUCUUGUAGUUUGAAAUCUUUACAUAAUUAUUCUAUCCAUAUUUCCAACUAAUGGUGAGAUGAUGUUCAAACAAAAUUUGUGGCGAAUAAUUAUAAUUUCUAUGCUACAAUUGUAGGAAGAAAGGUCACUUUAAAUUUGACUGUCCUAAAAUAUCAGACUCCACAAAUCUAUAGCAUAGCAAGACUGUGCAAAUAACAUCUUUGCACAUUUAUCCUAAUAGUGAACUACCUCUCAAAUUACAUAAGAGUUGAACUUAAAUAUUUUAAGUUGAACCAGUAUUUAUCGUCUACGCACUUCCUUUCUGAACUCUUAUCUCAGAUUCUAUUUUAAACGAACUUAAAAACAGGCUCAUAACCUGAACAAACUGACAUAUAUUUCCACUGCAUAUAAGUCAAAGACUUGAGAUGGUUUCUAAGUUCAUUUUCAAAUAGAAAGAUUUAAAGCACGAUUAAAUUCUCCAUCUCGUACAAUUUUUGCAGCUUCAUCCCUCAAGUUGAGUUUUUCUAGUCAUCUUUGUCUUCUUCAUACAAUUUCUCAUCAAGCUAGUGUUCUGUGCCUCUAUGUUUCUCACUCUCUCAGCCUCUGAUUUACUUUUCUUUUGUGGUCCAAUUCUCAUUAGACUCACUCCAACUCUCCUUCAAACAAAACUUAGUGGCCCAGAGAAGCUUUGUUCAUCAUCCUCAUCAGAUUCAACUUGCAAAGUCUUCACAUUUGAAUUGGGUUGUCUGGGUUACAUAAUAGAUAAUACACCCUGCUUCAUCACUUAUAUAUCGUAUGGGAUUUAUGUUGGGUAUUCAACAUACAGGAGUUCCACCAUUUCUAUUCUUUGAUAUAGAGGAAGCACACUGAACCAUACCUUGUGAAUCCCACUUAUUUAACCGUCACCAUAAAAAUCCUCCCUCCAAUCUUCAACCAUACAUCCCCUUGUAUUUUUCUUAUCAAACACAUAUCUAUAAGAACAUUUUCCUGAGCUAAAAGAGUAAUAAUCUUCCUAUGUUAUACAUUCUAGCCAGACUCUUAUACAAGCAUAAACAUAAACACUAAUUGUUCUUUCUUCUUCCUAGACAGAUCAAUAUCAUUUAUUCUCCCUGUCAAACAGAACAGAUUGAACAUCUCCUUCUUGGAGAUAUUCCGCACCAAAAUCCCAACAUGAUGAAAGAUUAAUGUUCUACCCUUUUAAAACUGAUCUACAAAUUCUUUGAAUUAGAAAGGCAAUGGCAAAUUGAUAGCUACAAGGGUGAACCAGCAUUACAUAUUUGCGAUAUAAGUAACACUUACCUGUGUAUCAUGGACAAGGAUACCAUCAAUUCUUCCUUAUUU